rnacentral:misc_RNA from 1 species
AACGCACCUUGCGCUCCUUGGUAUUCCGAGGAGCAUGCCUGUUUGAGUAUCAUUAUAUAUUCUCAACUAGCGUUGAUUUUGUUGUCAAGGUUAGGUUGGACUUGAGGGUUGUGGGCAGUAAAUGUCAGCUCCCUUUAAAUAUAUUAGCAGUGGGCUUUGUUUUUCACAAAGUGUAGCCAUUCUAAAAUGGUAUGAUAGUAUAUCAAUGCCUUUUAAUGGAUGCAUGAACAAGAAAGUUCAAGGCUUCUAAUUAGUCGUAAGUGACAAUAUUGAAGUUGAUCUCAAAUCAGGUAGGACUACCCGCUGAACUUAA